CUCUAACGGUUCCAUCUGGAGACAAUAUGGCCAGAUAUUCACCGUCCGCAGUAAAUGAAGUAACUAGCGAUUUCAGCUUCUCCUUUCCCAUAACAGAUCAGAGAUAACAAACUCUGAGUAUAAUAGGAAAGAAGCGGCAACUCCGAAACAGAGGCAGAGGACCGAGAGAGAAAACCACAACUAAUAAUUUGAUUUUGUCGUAGAAGAGCGUCGGCUGGUUGAAGAUUUUAAAUCAAAUUCAAUUGGUUAGAGACUCGUGCUGAUAACGUGUUAUGAAAUAAUAUAAAGACAAGAACAAUAACUCAAGUAACAAACUCUGAGUAUAAUAGGAAAGAAGCGGCAACUCCGAAACAGAGGCAGAGGACCGAGAGAGAAAACCACAACUAAUAAUUUGAUUUUUGUCGGAGAAGAGCGUCGGCAGGAAGGAGCAAUCCAGUGGAGAGGGUUUUGGCAAAGGUUUAACACAGAAAAUCAUUUAUAUUUGGGCUUCACUACAAGGGAUUUGGGCUU
rnacentral:lncRNA from 1 species